GAAGAUUUAGUUAAUAAUAAUAUUAGAAUGUCAAACUAAAGUAAUCACUCUCGUGAUAAUCUUCU
rnacentral:tRNA from 1 species